CGCCUGUUUAACAAAAACAUCGCUUCAUGACAGUAUGAAGUAUUGCCUGCCUAUGAUUUAAUUAAAUGGCCGCGGUAUACUGACCGUGCAAAGGUAGCAUAAUCAUUAGUCUUUUAAUUGGAGGCUGGAAUGAAAGGUGGGACGAAAUAACUACUGUCUUAUUCUGACAAAAUUGAAUUUAAUUAUUGAGUAAGAAAGCUUAAAUAAUUUUAUGGGACGAUAAGACCCUAUAGAGUUUUAUAAUUUUAUAAAUUAAAUUGGUUGGACUACUGUCUUAAUUUUUGAAAUUAUUUUGUUGGGGUGAUGAGAAGAUAUAAUUAACUCUUUUUUAUAAAGUACACAUAUUUGUGGUUAAUUGACCCGUAUGUUAUGAUUAGAAGACUAAAUUACCUAAGGGAUAACAGCGUAA
rnacentral:rRNA from 1 species